GGCUCUGUGGCGCAAUGGAUAGCGCAUUGGACUCCUAAUUCAAAGGUUGUGGGUUCGAGUCCCACCAGAGUAGUCCU